rnacentral:tRNA from 1 species
UGGUGGCCGAGUUUAGGUGGUAGAUUGUAAAUCUAUUUAUGGUUGUUUACCCCA